UAGGGAAUCUUCCACAAUGGGCGAAAGCCUGAUGGAGCAAUACCGCGUGAGUGAAGAAGGGUUUCGGCUCGUAAAACUCUGUUGUUGGAGAAGAACGUAUGUGAUAGUAACUGAUCAUGUAGUGACGGUAUCCAACCAGAAAGCCACGGCUAACUACGUGCCAGCAGCCGCGGUAAUACGUAGGUGGCAAGCGUUAUCCGGAUUUAUUGGGCGUAAAGCGAGCGCAGGCGGUUUUUUAAGUCUGAUGUGAAAGCCCUUGGCUCAACCAAGGAAGUGCAUCGGAAACUGGAAAACUUGAGUGCAGAAGAGGACAGUGGAACUCCAUGUGUAGCGGUGAAAUGCGUAGAUAUAUGGAAGAACACCAGUGGCGAAGGCGGCUGUCUGGUCUGUAACUGACGCUGAGGCUCGAAAGCAUGGGUAGCGAACAGG
rnacentral:rRNA from 1 species